GAUGAAGAACGUAUCGAAAUGCGAUAAGUAAUGUGAAUUGCAGAAUUCAGUGAAUCAUCGAAUCUUUGAACGCACAUUGCGCCCGCCAGUAUUCUGGCGGGCAUGCCUGUUCGAGCGUCAUUACAACCCUCAGGCCCCCGGGCCUGGCGUUGGGGAUCGGCAGAAGCCCCCUGUGGGCACACGCCGUCCCUCAAAUACAGUGGCGGUCCCGCCGCAGCUUCCAUUGCGUAGUAGCUAACACCUCGCAACUGGAGAGCGGCGCGGCCAUGCCGUAAAACACCCAACUUCUGAAUGUUGACCUCGAAUCAGGUAGGAAUACCCGCUGAACUUAAGCAUAUCAAUAAGCGGAGGA
rnacentral:misc_RNA from 1 species